UUUGUUACAUGUACGUAGGUUAAUUUUGCUUAACAGCUCGGUGCUAUCGACCGUACCAGUAGCAAUUUUCAUUAGGUAAACAGUAUCCCCAAUAUCACUUAUCCAUUUUUAGAUAAAAAUAUAAUUUAUUCAAUAAGAAUUACAUCACAACAUUACAUCAAACUUUAAUAGUGAAAGUUAUAAUCCUAUGUCAGUAUUAUAGUAAAACAUACGGGUGACGGACUUUUAAACAUUCAGUUACAUCAAGUAAAUCAUGGAGAAAACGUCAAUUUUAUUUUUGCUUAUGGUAUCAUGUGGAAGUGCUUCCAUCAUUGUACCUCAGGAGAUUUCCACUUUAAUAGACUUUAUACUAAAAUUUUUACCACCAUUCAAAACAGCAACAGAAGAAUCGCGUAUUGGUUUUGGCUUUGCGUAUGGCAACCACGCGGAUUUUCAAACAGUUGUACAAUUUGGCCCUGAUAAGGAGAAAAAGGAUGCGUUUUCAACAAUGAAGAGACGAGCGAACAAAGAGGUAAAAAAAAGAAAAGCACUUAAACUUGUAUCCAGGGAAAUGAAGCUUUAAAU